CGAGGCGGACGGGUGACCGCCGACCUAAUAAGCGGUUGGAGGAAAGUCCGGGCUCCAAAGAGCAGGGCGCUGGGUAACACCCAGUCGGGGCGACCCGAAGGAAAGUGCCACAGAAAUUACA
rnacentral:RNase_P_RNA from 1 species